rnacentral:rRNA from 1 species
GACGAACGCUGGCGGCGUGCUUAACACAUGCAAGUCGAACGGUAAGGCCCUUCGGGGUACACGAGUGGCGAACGGGUGAGUAACACGUGGGUGGUCUGCCCCGCACUUCGGGAUAAGCCUGGGAAACUGGGUCUAAUACCGGAUAGGACCACUGCCUGCAUGGGUGGUGGUGGAAAGCUUUUGCGGUGUGGGAUGGGCCCGCGGCCUAUCAGCUGGUUGGGGGGGUGAUGGCCUACCAAGGCGACGACGGGUAGCCGGCCUGAGAGGGUGACCGGCCACACUGGGACUGAGAUACGGCCCAGACUCCUACGGGAGGCAGCAGUGGGGAAUAUUGCACAAUGGGCGCAAGCCUGAUGCAGCGACGCCGCGUGAGGGAUGACGGCCUUCGGGUUGUAAACCUCUUUCAGCACCGACGAAGCGCAAGUGACGGUAGGUGCAGAAGAAGGACCGGCCAACUACGUGCCAGCCGCCGCAGUAA